CGAGAAAGUUCGUGUGAGGGCGUUGUGUAAGACCCGGAGGAUAAUAUGGCCGAUCGAACUACGAAUGUUCAAAUGCUGCGCGUUGAUAGCUGCGCACUGGCAUGCAUCACUCGUCAUGUUUACACCGGACGACUGUCGUUUUUAGCAUGUUUAUAAGUAUACGGCGGUGAAACUACUUUAAUAAUACUUUGUUACUAGUAAAUGUAGCGUUGAUAAUGCUGAGAUGUAAUUUCAUGUGAUAAACUUGCUGGUGAGGUGCAUUCGACGAAAUAAAAAAAGUCCACCGCCAUGCGAAAAGAGCGGGAAAGCCAUAGUUAAGGUGGGAACAAGGAUUAAAAUCUUAGUGGGGAGAACAACACCCAUUUACUUAUGCGAAAUAUCACUUUUUCCUAAAUGAUUAAUAACUGGUGUACGUUGAUGAGAAAAUAUAUACAAUGACGAUACAAUCA